rnacentral:rRNA from 1 species
CUACGGGAGGCAGCAGUGGGGAAUAUUGCACAAUGGGCGCAAGCCUGAUGCAGCCAUGCCGCGUGUAUGAAGAAGGCCUUCGGGUUGUAAAGUACUUUCAGCGGGGAGGAAGGGAGUAAAGUUAAUACCUUUGCUCAUUGACGUUACCCGCAAAAGAAGCACCGGCUAACUCCGUGCCAGCAGCCGCGGUAAUACGGAGGGUGCAAGCGUUAAUCGAAAUUACUGGGCGUAAAGCGCACGCAGGCGGUUUGUUAAGUCAGAUGUGAAAUCCCCGGGCUCAACCUGGGAACUGCAUCUGAUACUGGCAGGCUUGAGUCUCGUAGAGGGGGGUAGAAUUCCAGGUGUAGCGGUGAAAUGCGUAGAGAUCUGGAGGAAUACCGGUGGCGAAGGCGGCCCCCUGGACGAAGACUGACGCUCAGGUGCGAAAGCGUGGGGAGCAAACAGGAUUAGAUACCCUCGUAGUC